rnacentral:lncRNA from 1 species
CAUAUGUUGGAAAAAGCCAAUACCUGCAAGCUGUUUGUUCUUGACCUUCACAAGGACCCAGUGGUCUCGGGCUACAGGAUCUGCUCUGGUGCAUUCGAUUCGUGUCAGUGCGCGUUGGAAGGUGCUUUGGAGACUAAGGGCAAACUGUACACAAACUGGCACUGGUCCUCGUCCACGCCCAGAACUGGGUUCCCAGGCCCCAAGGCGGAAAGCGGGAGGGAGGGGUGUCCCAAGGGUGGGGAGGGCCCUGAGUAACUUUU